rnacentral:rRNA from 1 species
CCUACGGGAGGCAGCAGUGAGGAAUAUUGGUCAAUGGGCGAGAGCCUGAACCAGCCAAGCCGCGUGAAGGAUGAAGGUUCAAAGGAUCGUAAACUUCUUUUAUCUGGGAAUAAAGUGUGGAACGCGUUCCCUUUUGUAUGUACCAUAUGAAUAAGCAUCGGCUAACUCCGUGCCAGCAGCCGCGGUAAUACGGAGGAUGCGAGCGUUAUCCGGAUUUAUUGGGUUUAAAGGGUGCGUAGGCGGUCUGUUAAGUCAGCGGUAAAAGCCCGGGGCUCAACCCCGGCGAGCCGUUGAAACUGGCUGUCUUGAGAUGUCGAGAGGUAUGCGGAAUGCGCAGUGUAGCGGUGAAAUGCUUAGAUAUCGCGCAGAACUCCGAUUGCGAAGGCAGCAUGCCGGCGGCGAUCUGACGCUGAGGCACGAAAGCGUGGGUAUCGAACAGGAUUAGAUACCCGAGUAGUC